ensembl:lncRNA
GGCAUCUGUUGUCAUUGGAGAUUGUGGUCAUGCUAGUCUGGGUACCACUUAGUACUGGAAGGAGGUAGCUGUAGCCAUCGGAGCAGCCAUCAUCUUGGCUAAGCUCUGCACAGCGCCCACAGAGAGAAGUCACUGGGAAAACAGGAUUAUUAAACCCUAUAGCAUUCCAUGCAAGGUGACAGGCUGUAGAUAUGCCUCAUCCCAACUCCAGAGGGAUGGGUAUCUUUCACUUCUAUGCCCCCAAAGCUACUGCUAUGGGUGAAUACUUGCUAUGCUUCAGCCACAUAGGGGCUCUUCAGAAAAAUGUAAAGGUUAGAAUUACUCUAUGACCCUACAAUAUCACUUCUGGAUAUUUAUCCAGAAGAAUGGACAUAAUUUAACUGUUCCUCUGUUCACUCCAGUACCAUUCGAAAUAACCAAGGCAGGGAAAGUGAUAUCUAAUGGAGUGGCAGACAAAGUAAUGAAUCAGAGAAAGAUGUCACAGACUAAGCUACUUAAGGGGCAAUGCAGAGAGAAAAAAAGAAAAGAGGAGGGCGGGUUUACCAGGAGGGUUUUACAGAGAUAUGUUGAAUAGAAAACAAGGUAGGGAAAGGUGAAAACAGAGAAUGAGAAUGAGAAUGAGAAUGAGAAUGAGAAUGAGAAUGAGAAUCAGAAUCAGAAUCAGAAUCAGAAUCAGAAUCAGAAUCAGAAUCAGAAGAUUUGAACAGAUUGCCAAAAUUCAUUUGAGGCCAAUCAGAGCAAAGUCAAAGGCUAAGAGAAGUCAGUUUGAAUCAGUCAGCUUACAGAGCCAGAUCAGCCAGCCGGAGCUCAGAAAGAACUAAAAAGGUACCACUGUGUGAAAAUGGAUGUCGGUGGAUAACUUGUUGGAGAGGAUUCUCUUGCUCUACAACAUGGGCUCAGGAGACUGAACUCAGCUCAUCAACCUUGGUGGAAGGCACAUUUAUCCUCCAAGCAAUGUUGCUGUUCCAAGAUUCACAUUUUAAUAAAGACCCAUGUUACCUGAC